rnacentral:rRNA from 1 species
AUUGAACGCUGGCGGCAGGCCUAACACAUGCAAGUCGAACGAGUGGCGGACGGGUGAGUAAUGUCUGGGAAACUGCCUGAUGGAGGGGGAUCACUACUGGAAACGGUAGCUAAUACCGCAUACCAUCGGAUGUGCCCAGCUGGGAUGAGCUAGUAGGUGGGGUAAAGGCUCCCCUAGGCGACGAUCCCUAGCUGGUCUGAGAGGAGGAACAGUCACACUGGAACUGUGACACGGUCCAGACUCCUACGGGAGGCAGCAGUUGGGAAUAGUGCACAAUGGGCGCAAGCCUGAUGCAGCCAUGCCGCGUGUAUGAAGAAGGCCUUCGGGUUGUAAAGUACUUUCAGCGGGGAGGCGUUACCCGCAGAAGAAGCACCGGCUAACUCCGUGCCAGCAGCCGCGGUAAUAC